CUGUCGGUGGUUCAAUGGUAGAAUGAUCGCGUGCCACGCGGGCGACCCGGCUCAAUUUUCGGCCGAUGGA